rnacentral:lncRNA from 1 species
ACAAGGCCUCACACACACCUGUGUGGUCCACACAACCCAAACAAAAAAUUCACAACAUCCUCUAAACACACCUGAUCAAGAACCCGAUGCAUGCCCAAAAUUGAAUAUUCUAGCACCUAAAUUGACGAAACCAUAAGAAUUGACAACAAAAUUUCUCAGCCUAAAUGACUAAUUUCAAUAAUGAAACACCAUUUGAUUGAGAAUCAAACACAACAAAUUCAUAACAUCCUCUAAACACGCCCCUGUGCACUUACCGAUACGAGCAGCACUACACGAAAUUUAUGACGUUGGAGGAACAACCAAUUGCUCUCGAUCCUCACCUAACAACACACAAACAAAAUAAUUAAACACAACUAAAACCCCAAUUCCACCACCAGAACUCAGCCCACACAAAAAAGAACCCCAACCCUUCAAAAUUUCACAACUUACCAGAUGAACAAAUGCCAUAACCACCACCUAAGAUGUAAACAAAGGAUAGAAAAUGAAAGUAAUGGAAAAUUAAGCCAAGAAAUAAUCAAGAAUCAAAAUAAAAGAACAAAGAUUAGAAAAGAAGGAAAAAGAACAAAAAUUAAAGAAACAGAACACUAAAACAUGGAAAGUAGAUGACGGCGUGAAUAAUGGUUUUAGAAAAGGAACAAACGUGAGAUAAUUUGGGUAC